CAUUAGAUGGCUGAAAGCAAGCACUGAUCUCUUAAAUCAUAAAAUAGUAGUCCCGGCACCUACUUCUAAUGA
rnacentral:tRNA from 1 species